ensembl:lncRNA
GUGCACAUGAGGAGCAAAUAAAGUGAACUGUGCAAAGCUCUGAGAUUCUGAAGAAACCUGAAGGAAAAAGUUACAGAUAGCUUUGGAGUGUAGGAGGCGCUGCUUACUGUUCGCUGAAGCCCUUUUGGGUACUGUAACAGAGUCAACAACAUCCACAGCACCAGACCCCAGCAGUACACUCUGCCCACUCGUUCACAGUCAGAGAUCUGAUCACCUGCAACUGUCACAUCCAAUCAGCACAGACUAUAUAAACCGCACACCUCAUUCCACUGUUGUCUGGUCUCGUUGUUCCUACCUGAACACUAUCUGACCAAUUACCUGCAUGGACUUACCUUCUUCUGAAUCCGACCUCUGGAUCCAGCUCUCCAACACCAGUUCUACCAGAAAGACUCAGGGAGGUAAAAAUAAGACUGAAGUAUUUAUUUACAACAACACAAAAAAUAUAAUUAUUUUGGCGUAGGCCCCAUCCAUAGCAUGGAUCUGAAGUUUGUAGAUACCAGCUAAUCCUGCCGAAGACGAAGGCAGGGCGGAGCCUACCCCCCGCAUGGACAGGGCCAACCUGGUGGUGGUGGGGAGGAGGAGGAUGGAGGGAAAUGACAGCGGCGGUGGUAUCUGCAAACACAAAAUAGGAUACCAGACCCCUGUACUGCAGGAUAGAGCUGAAUGUGGCAGCGCUGGACAGGUGUUUAAUGGUUUCUUCUGAGCAGGAAGACCCUGACUGUGCUGCUGGAUCUACUGGGAAGUGAACGGCAACAGUGAUGGAGCCACAAUCCAGACCCUGGUGUUUCUCUUCUGUCUGCCAGCGGUACAUCAUACAGAUGGUCUCCAGAGUGUUUGAGAUGUGCCUCGUUCCACUGUCACCACAUUGUCCUCCGAGUCUCUGAGGAGGUGCUGGCCAUUCACCAAGAGACUGACCUCCUGAAGACCCCAGAACACGUGGAGGCAGGGCCGGGCUCAAACUGAUGUUGUUUUCUGAUGUUAAACCUAAGCUAUGUUGUAAAUGGUUGUAAAAAGUACUUUCUGUUAUGUAUAGAACAUUUUGUUUUAAUGUGUAAAAAAGUAUUUAC